rnacentral:rRNA from 1 species
AGAGUUGAUCAUGGCUCAGGACGAACGCUGGCGGCGUGCUUAACACAUACAAGUCGAACGAGCGAUACCGGAGAGCUUGCUCAAAGGUAAAGCGAGUGGCGGACGGGUGAGUAACGCGUGAGGAACCUGUCUUGCACAGGGGGAUAACGCACCGAAAGGUGUGCUAAUACCGCAUAAGACCACAGCACCGCAUGGUGCGGGGGUCAAAGGAGGAAUCCGGUGCAAGGUGGCCUCGCGUCCCAUUAGGCAGUUGGCGGGGUAGCGGCCCACCAAACCGACGAUGGGUAGCCGACCUGAGAGGGUGAUCGGCCACAUUGGAACUGAGACACGGUCCAAACUCCUACGGGAGGCAGCAGUGGGGAAUAUUGGGCAAUGGGCGCAAGCCUGACCCAGCAACGCCGCGUGAGGGAAGAAGGUUUUCCGGAUUGUAAACCUCUGUCCUCAAUGAAAAGUAGAAGAUGGUAAUUGAGGAGGAAGCCCCGGCUAACUACGUGCCAGCCGCAGC